GACGAACGCUGGCGGCGUGCUUAACACAUGCAAGUCGAACGGAAAGGCCCUGCUUUUGUGGGGUGCUCGAGUGGCGAACGGGUGAGUAACACGUGAGUAACCUGCCCUUGACUUUGGGAUAACUUCAGGAAACUGGGGCUAAUACCGGAUAGGAGCUCCUGCUGCAUGGUGGGGGUUGGAAAGUUUCGGCGGUUGGGGAUGGACUCGCGGCUUAUCAGCUUGUUGGUGGGGUAGUGGCUUACCAAGGGUUUGACGGGUAGCCGGCCUGAGAGGGUGACCGGCGACAUGGGGACUGAGAGACGGCGCAGACUCGUACGGGAGGCAGCAGUGGGGAAUAUUGCACAAUGGGCGGACGCCUGAUGCAGCAACGCCGCGUGCGGGAUGACGGCCUUCGGGUUGUAAACCGCUUUCGCCUGUGACGAAGCGUGAGUGACGGUAAUGGGUAAAGAAGCACCGGCUAACUACGUG
rnacentral:rRNA from 1 species